GCAGCGGCUUCCCAGCAGCGAGCCCCUGCCUGGGCUGGAAAGAGGGAGCUGCGCAGCCAGAGCCACCCCCCUCAGCUCUCCAGCACCAGCACCUGAGGGGCUCAGAUGAGAGGAAUGGCCAAGAUGGAAGCUCCCCACACCCAUGGGGCACUCCAGGGCCACCGCAGCUGGGAGCAGCAGGAGAGGAUGAGUGGGUCCAGGGCCAGUAACGGGAAGCGUCUGCUCUCAGUGACGGUAAAUCAGAUCGGGGAGAUUAGAGGCCUUUUUGCCUAAUCAUGAGCAGCUUGAAGCUGGAGGACAAGUUCCUGGAACAAAGAGGAAAUGGAGGCAGUAAAUAAAGAAAAACUGUUAACAUGUG